GCUCCUCUUCUUCCUCACGACUCUGUAAUCGAAGCUUCGCGGCUGCGUUAGCUUGAGCUCUCCGGCGACACCGUAUGCGAUCUCCACACCUCUCCAAUCGCCACCGGAACUCGCCAAGACUUCUUCGGUCACAUCCACCGUGUCCGGGAUCGACCUGACCCGGUGUUGGAUAAGCUAGCGAAUCCAGCUCCUUAGUCAGAGGGGCGACUUGAUGUGUAACUUUACUGGCGACUUGGCUGAUGUGCAAUGCUUCAGUCAAGUCAACUAUCUAAAGACGAAGUAAACAAAGCCACGAAGAAAUUGCUGGGAGAGCCCCAAGACAAGUGCAAUAAGACUGGGCUAGCUCCCUUUUGCCAGACCAACCCAACACCUCCAGUAGACUCCAGGUUUUGGAGAAGGAAGAAAUCCUCAAAGUCUGCUCCUGCUCCGGUGGAGCAAGCAAAUGAACCGGUUGACGCUGAUGAGCCGUCUGCUGGGAAUGAGUUUGAGGUAACCCCAAGACAAGUCGAGCCGGCAAUGUCGAGGUAAUUUCAAUCUCAUCCAGCUCGGAAACCUUAAUCCCGAAGAGAACAAGACGAACCGUCAGAAAGGGCUAAGGUCAUCAAAAGGAGAAGAGUGGGUGAGUCAUCUUUGGCUACCAUAGUCCUUGAGUCUCAAGACCCGCCAUUGGUGACUCUAGAGGUACAAACCGAAACUGCGGACAAAGACAACCCCGAUCUGAGGGGUGAGCCGGCUCAUGAAAAUGAGACGGUUAAUGCUAAUGAGCCAGUGGCGAUGGAAAGUGUCUAGGUCGACAACCAGAUCAAUACAGACGACCCGACGCAUAACAUUGACCCACCAUGUCCUGCUCGUGCCUCCAGCCCAAUAAAAGAGGCUGAAAAUAUCAUCCCAUCUCAUACAAUGGGCGAUGCAGAAGUGAAUAUCACUAGAGAAGCCUAUAAUGCUCUAGAGGCAUCAAACACCUUGACCAAGUUUGUGGUCAAGGAUGAGUUGUCCCCAUUAUCAAAGGGAAAUUCAAGCUGGAACUCCCCAAAUUUGAAGAGCUGAGUGUAGAAGAAAUCCACCAAGGAUAUUUGACCCGGUAUCUAAGAGCCGGGAUGCUGAAGCAAAUAUGAUUAACAUCCUGAAACGCAGAUAUGUGGUAUGAAACAAUCCUCCUUUCUCAUUAUUGUCCAUGCUAACGCAGCCCCCAAUUCUUAGGCAUAUGAAAGAUAUGAUUGUGUGUAAGACUUGCUUAAGGAUCCGAGUCCACUUUAGUCCCCAAGGGCCGACUUAGUAAAUCAUACUGAGCUGGGACUUAAAAUUUAGUAAGAAAUGAAAUGUGAUGUUGUAGCCCCCAAGGGUUGGGUCAUUAUGUGAAUAUGAGUCGGUACUUCAAAUUAUCACUUAGCUCAUAUUGCGGAAGAACGCCUUAUAGCCCCCAAGGCCCAGCUUAUCUUCGGAAGGUAGCCAGGUCUUCCAUGUGUAAAUAGUUGUAGUUGAUAAAACUUCUUGCAUUAGCCCCCAAGUGCCAUGUAGAUUGUUUGCAACUACUUGGGACUUGUUCAGACAACAAGCUUUGCAUGUUGUAGACCCCAAGUGUUGGAUUGUCUGUUUGCGGCAACUCAGGACUUUGGAUAACAUUUGAAGUUGAGUAAUAUGUAGGAAAUGCUAAAGCUGAGUCAUCUAUGGCCGGCUUACAAAAAGAUUGAAACAGUAAAAUGAGCCAAGGAGAAAAGCUGAGAACUUGGCGGCUGAUCGCCAAAGGUCUGUGUACCAAGCAACUGAUACGUUGCAGGAGGCCAGAGCUCAAUUUGAAAAUGAAAAGGCCAGCUUGUAGAAAAGGGCAACUUGAGCUGGUGACUCAUCAGCUGAGUGAUUUGAAUCGUCAUAUAACAAAUAUGAUAAUGGCCAUCUUUGGUAGAAAAAAUUUACAAUGUUGUCCAGCUUCCCCUGGUGAAGUUAAAGGCGAUCUACUCUUAUGUGGAGCAGUUGUACACUGGUGGUGCUUAUGCAAUUAUGGCGGCUAACCAGAAUGCACCACCCCUCAAUGGUUCUAAGACAUGCGCAAUGAUUUGUCCACAAUCCCUCAGUGGAUUGGAGAAAUGGUCAAAUCGGUGGCUCAUGCUAGGUCCGGCAUGGUGCUUGCCCGAGCGAAGGAAUUUCUUCUAGAGAUGGAUCCUAAUAAGUUAGUCGGCGGGUUUCCAUAGUACAAUGUGGAUGGCGCAGAAUUCUCACGAGAAGACUUCUCAUGUUGUGUGAAGGAAACCAUGGUGGCGGUGACUCAACUAGUGAAAGAGCUGGACUUGGUUAAAUAUCAAGCCGACUAUUCAGAAGACAACAAGCGCACCACCCCGCCAGAGUACAAGCCCUUUGUGCUUACUCCGCCACAUCAUAAGCAAACUUUCACUCUUGACAUCGACCCGUCUGCUAUUAUCACCGAGGAUUGAGUUUUCCAAAAAUUAUCCACCAUCCAGUGGAAACCAAGAGACCUCUAGACCGAGCAGGACGAGCCGACGCAGGCUGACCCGACAACGACUGAUGCAGAGGGCCAACAUGAUGACGUCAACUCAGAGACCUCUUAUACGUGCUAAACUAGUAGCUAACUUAAAAACUUUGCUUGAUAUGUGGCCCAGCUGGGGCUUGUAAAUGGAGUAGGAAAAAUACUUGCUUGUCUAUGGUGCCAUCGUGCACUUGAUACUCUAGGCAUAUUUUGCAGAAGGAAUCGAACAGGUGCGGUGUUGUGUUGACCCGCCC